rnacentral:rRNA from 1 species
CCUAACACAUGCAAGUCGAACGGUAACAGGAAGAAGCUUGCUUCUUUGCUGACGAGUGGCGGACGGGUGAGUAAUGUCUGGGAAACUGCCUGAUGGAGGGGGAUAACUACUGGAAACGGUAGCUAAUACCGCAUAACGUCGCAAAACCAAAGAGGGGGACCUUCGGGCCUCUUGCCAUCGGAUGUGCCCAGAUGGGAUUAGCUAGUAGGUGGGGUAACGGCUCACCUAGGCGACGAUCCCUAGCUGGUCUGAGAGGAUGACCAGCCACACUGGAACUGAGACACGGUCCAGACUCCUACGGGAGGCAGCAGUGGGGAAUAUUGCACAAUGGGCGCAAGCCUGAUGCAGCCAUGCCGCGUGUAUGAAGAAGGCCUUCGGGUUGUAAA